UCACACUUUAGUUGCAGUUCGCUAAUUCUGAGAUGUUUUGUCCUGAAUGCUAAAAAGCUGUUAAGCUCCAUUUAAAAUGAAGAUGCUACAUUAACCUCAUAGCAAAGUUUAUGACUCUAGAGGAAAGAGGGAGCGAGAAGGAGAGCGAAAGGGAGAAAGAAAAACUCUAGAGAGUCUGGCUGUAAGUCCUAAAACAUGGCACAUUUAAUCAACUCUAAUGAGAGCAGCUUUGUAGAUUUAGCUUCUCCUUCUUUUUUAAGUCAUUUAAUCACGCACCAUUCUUCUCCGUACCCCCCUCCUCUCCAGCACCUGUUCUAACUCCCACCUCCUAUCUGCGCAAUGCCUGUAUAAUGAUGCAUCUCUAUCUGAGUAGUGUGUGAUACAAUUAGCCAGUUAGCUAUAUGAGACCAUACAGGAGCUGUUCUAUAUCAGACCGGCCAAGAGCUCCAUCUCAUCUGCAUUCAAUCUCAUCCUUCUCUUUUUCUAUCUCUCCUUCUCUCUCACUGUCGUAAUACUAGCACAUUCUCACACACACACACACACACACACACACACACACACACACACACACACACACACAUGCUCGUUCUUGGCCGCUUCAUUUCUGUUUUUCUCUCACUGCGUCCCUCUCUCUCGCCUUCCUCUCUCACUCUCUCCAUCCCAGCUCUCUUUGAAUUUGUGUGUGUGUGGUGUUAGUGUGGAGCUUGGCAGUGAUGACGGUAGUUCGGUGGUGUAUAAUUGUCCUUGCUUUGGUUUGUGUGGUUCUCUCUCUCUCUCUCUCUCUGUCUGUCUGUCUGUCUGUCUGUGUCUCUAACAUGGAGCAUGGAGUCCAGUCACAGUCUAAAUAGACAUUUCUGUUCUGCAGUGCCCUGUUUGAUUGAAAUGGAAUUGAACAGAUGUCUUUCACCCGCCAAACCAACGGCCGGAGAGAUUAAAUUAUCCCCUUCUUUCUCUGUGUGUGUGGGUGUGCCUCAGCUCUCAGCCUUGCCCAGUAACACAAAAGGGAAGGCGUUCAGUCUAAAUGUAAUUUAUUGCCCCGAGCCCCUCCCAUCAGACACCUUACAUCUGCAACAGUGGUUGGUCCCUUUGUCACACAGCGGGGUGAGUGGUUCUCUAGAUGGAUCUGAAGUCUGCACGUCAGCGGGGCGUUCUCUGAGGUGGUGUUGGCCCAGGAGAGGUCUACAGGGAAGAUGUUUGCUGUGAAGUGUAUCCCCAAGAAGGCCCUUAAGGGGAAAGAGAGCAGCAUCGAGAACGAGAUCAACGUGCUCCGCAAGUAAGUCUCCCACCUACCUUCUCCUCCCUAACACCUGUUACCCUGGCGACCGAACGGNNNNNNNNNNCA
rnacentral:lncRNA from 13 species